CAGCACAGGGGUCGGGGCACUGACCUCCCUGCCACUGGAAAUCCACAUUCAACUUCUGGCUCCUCCAAAGGAUCUCUGCUAGCAAGCCUGCUGUUGACCGGAAGCCUUACUGAUAACAUAAACAGUCCAAUAAUACAUAUUUUGUAUGUUAUAUGUGCUAUAUACUGUAUUCUUUCUACAGUAUACUAAGCUAGGGCAAGGAAAAUGUUAUUAAGAAAAUUUUAAGAGAAAAUACAUUUACAGUGUUUAUUGAAAAGCAGCCAUGUAAGUGGACUCACACAGUUCAAAACUCUCUUGUUCAAGGGUCAACUGUAUUGUUAUUGAAGAUUUGCCUUCUGGCUCUUUUAAACAGUUACUCUCUUGGUUGUCUCUUACAAGGCUGUAUUCAUGUGGAACUUUGCAAGAGAACAUGAGUAUUAAGAAAAGGAGCUCUCAUCUGAGUAAUGCUGAAAUGAGUUAGUUUAUAUCAACUUAGUAUAAAAUAUGUGAAUAUUACAAGGAGAAUGAAAAAAAUAUGGGUAGUUCAGUACUUAUUGCAAUUCUCAGGGCAUUUGGGGACUGCAGCUGCCUUUUGUCCCUUUGUGUCUCAUACACGGGUGACAGCUUGCAAUGCACAGAACUCUGCCUGAUGUGUACCAUGGUAACUGGGGUGAGAGACUCCCGUAGCUGGCUUGGCCACCUGAAGAUUCUGCAUGUGUUAAGAAUAAUGAUUAGACACCCUGACUACUACUUAGCAUCAUCCCCAAGGGCUUUUAGUCAGAGCAGUUAAAUAGGGGACACACCCAUGAGAGUUUGCAGAAAAAUAAAGAUAAACUCUCCUUUCAAAAAGUGCCUGCUAAUUGCUUGGGGAUUUACGAUAAUUAACAAUAAAUAUUAGGUGGAACCUCCUAAUCCUUCAUUAGAGUCAGUACAUAGAGUCAGUCUUUGGGUGCUUGGUUUUGGUAGUUGACAAACCAGGGGCCAUUGAUCUCCCAUAACUUCCUGUUUCCUGCAUGCAGGUCUGCCCCCUCCCCUUCCCUUGCACCUGCUCAACCCUUUCUCACCCUGGAGUAGAAGUACAGAGAAAGAAAGCAUUUCCAUUGAGCUGGGCACACCCAAGAAAGACAACCAGUUUGCCACUUUCAGCUGUUUAUCAAGAAGUUACUUUAUGCUCUGCAUUAAACUUCAGAGACUUGUGUCAAUUUAAAGGGUCUCUUUCUGCAUUUGUCCCCCUCCCUUGGGGAACAGACUGUAAAAUGUAAGCCAGGAUUGUUUGGUCUUUAAAAGAGGCUGAUUUGUGUAAGCAGGCACUGCAUGUGCUUCAUGGGCAAAACACACUUUGGCCUUGGCUUUGCGUGUUUCUCUGAAAUUGGAGCAAAUGCAGUCAGGUUCAAAUGGCAGCCACAGAGCUGCAAACCUGAAACACAAGGCUUCUCAGCCAGGAAGGGGCAAGUGAAAAAUCCCCCCUAACCCCGCUCUUGCAAGUGAAAAUGUAAAGCAUUCUCGUGUUAUGAGACUGCAUCUUUUAAAAUCCGCCCCUCCAACACUGAGAGUAGCUUCAGAUGGGGGUGAAGGGCAGCAGGAAACGGCAGUUUUCGGCAUUUACCACUUCCUAGGAACAGGGACUUGAAAGAAAAGCAGCCUCAUGGAACAUUUGGGCCCGCCAUUGAAGUUGUUGAGUCAUUUCUGAGACUGGGUUUUCUCUGGCCAGAACGUCCUGUAGAAUGAGGAGCUGCCAGUGUUCUGGCACGACUCUCCUUUUACAUGCCCGUUGCAGUGGAUGCCUGCUGAGUGUGCCUCUGUCGCACUGCACUCCAAAGCCAGGGGAAAGGGAGAUGGGAGCCCAUGAAACUUAAAGCAAAUGGAAAGUUUUUGCAAAUCGUGAUGUGCUAAAAAUACAAUCACUAGCUGAUCAUUCUUUUGACAACCUUUAGCAAAUCAUUCAGAAUACUCAAAAUAUUUGUCAUUUUCUGUAACACUUUCUGUAUCAUUUUAAGUCAUUGAAUAUUUUGUUUCUUGCUUGAUUGUAUGCAUAUUUCGUGCUUCUCAACUAUAGUCCUUUAGCUCUGGGUCACUUUUCUCCUAGGAAAGAGUGCUUUAUUCACAGUUACUGUUACGUAAUUAUUUUUAUAUGGAUGUACUGCCACAAAACGUGGAUGUGUUUGUUUUGUUUUUCAAAUUCAGCUACUAGUGAAUUAAUAUAUCUAAUUGGGCAAACGUAAAGCUGCCACAUGGAGAAUAAAAGACCAGAAUCACAGAACCAUAAAAUUUUAUAACCAUAAAGGACCUGAGAGAUUUCAAUUUAACCUGUUUAUUUUACAAAUGAGCAAUUAUAGCUGAUAGAGAUCAAAUAAAUGACUUGCCCAAAGCCCCAGAGCUGGCGGAGGCGACUCAGCCAUCCACCUCACUAAUACAUUGAUUAGCCCAUGUGAACUGACAUUGCUGACAGUUGUUUUCACUACCUAUUAUAGUACAUUUAAAUUUCAUCCAUCUUUAUGCCCCUGAUUUUCCUUGGGGAGGAUAUUUAAUUGAUUAUUAAUUUUAUUACCUCCAUAUUUGGGGCUAAUUCAUUGCUUAGUUUUCUCUACUUUCUAAAAGUUCUCCAUGCCACUUUCAAGGCAACUGACCUGAACACCUGUUCUCCCAUGGUGGACACAGAACGGUGCUGGGUAGGAGGCUGACUGUCCAGACGGACAGUGGCCUGGCCCUGUAUUACACUAGAACUCUGACCCCUGAUUUCAGCAUCCAGUCCAGGGAGCCAAACAGUAACCCCUGUGGCAGUUGGCCCUAAAUAGCCAGGAUACGAUCAAUUACUGACACUUGGGUAAUUUUUGUCUUUGUUUCCAACUUAGGGGCAGCCUGAUAAAGCCCAAUAUGCUCCCCAAACCAACCACAGGAGUGCUAGCUUCUAGUAAGCAUCACCUUCAGCUUUCCCUGUGCCAACCACCUCCCAUCAGGGCAUCCCUGAAGCCCCCCCUUUUUUACUACAGAGCUUUCCCACCCCUCUGCCUAUCUUUGAGUCUCUGCCAAGUGCAGUUGUUGGUGGCUGGCUCUCUUGCCCUAGCAAGCUCUGAGUAAAUAGCCUUUGCGCGUUUUCAUUUGGGUGUGCUCCAGUCCCCCGGAGGGAGAGCCACAGAGACCAGCCCUGCCGACUUCCGUGAGUGUUCUCUCUGGUACGGCAGUGUGCAGGCAGCUACACAGCUGCACUGUGGCACUUUAAAAAUUCCCAUUGUCUCUCCCUUAUCAAAAGGAUAUAUGAAAAACUCUUGGUCGAUAUCCUGCUUGAACUUAACAUACCCUAUCAGUGCAUUUUUCUGCCCUAUCAACCUGGUAACCUGCCAGGAGAGGACAGGAGUGGCUCAGAGUCAUCGUGUCAAUGUUCUCUGAUGUUCAUAAAACUCCCACUUAAUAAUCUCUCUAGAAUUUGGCAAGGAGGAUAACGUGAGCUGUCAUCUGUUCUUUUCUUUUCUGGAAUCCAUCCUUUUAUCGUGUUGUGAACAUCAGGAUUUUCUUACUCUCCAGUGUUUCCCAGUAUAGAAUUAAGGUCUGAAAUCACAAAUAAGGUUCAUAAUUUACCAGCCAGGAUGUAUCUUUCUUUUGAAUGUCAGUACGUAAUUGACCUAACUAAAGGGGUGACAUCACCUUGUUUUAGGAACCAUCGUGGGUAUGAGUUCCCUCUGCACAGUGGCAUUGCCCAGGUGCCACCUUGAUGGGUGAGCGGGCAGGGCUCUGGUCCUCGCAAGGGUCUGUCAGCCCAGCCCCACCCCCAGAUUGUCUCAUGGGACCACUGACAUCUUCUCCACAUUAAGUGAAGUGUUAUGCAAAUGUAGUGGCGAGCCCAUCAUUUCUAAACACACUGAAUGCAGAAGGCCCUUUAAGGGACAAAGUGUUAAUGUACGUAGUACUUACUUACUUAGAACAUAGCCUGGCCCGCAGGUGUCACUCAGUGUCUACUGGCUGCUUCUGGCACUCCUGCAGCUACCACUACUGUAUUGGUGGAAGUCCUGGAGCUGCUACUGUCUCUCCAUCAUGUUUGCUUCGCCCCUUACCAUCACAUGCCCAGCUCUUCCCACCUUUGCUGUGUGCCCACACAGUUCCUUCUGCUGGAGACCUCUCUCUUCUUUCUGCCUGGCUCACUUCUCCUCAUCUUCCAGUUGCUUCUUAAACAUCACUUCUGCCAGGAAACCUUCCAAAACUCCAGUCUAAAUUAGGGCCCCCAUUUUAUUAUCUUAGACCAGAAGUCAGUAAACAUCUUUUCUGAAGUGCCCAUUAGUAAAAGUUUUAGACGUUGCAGGCCACACAGGUGACUACUCCAGUCUGCCGUUGUAAUACAAGGGUAGCUGGAGACAUUGUGUAAGUGAGUUGGUGAGCACCAUCCCAAUAAAACUUUAUUUGCAAAAACAAGUAGUGGACUUCUGGGGGCAGUUUACCAAACUCAUUUUAGAUUACUCUGUAGUUUUUCUACACUAUAUGAUUAUGUGAUUAUUUGUCUAUUAUCUGUCUCCCUUGGGACUGAAGCUUGUUAAGUACCAGGCCUGACUGGUGUCUGUUUCUGCAUCUACAGGACAAGCAUAGUACUAGGCACAUAGCAGGCACUUAAUAAACAUUUAUUGAAUGAAGGAACGAAGGAAGU